GUUUUUUGCGGCAAUGAACAGUGGAGGUGGAGGCUCUGACAGCGAUGGUAAUGCAAGCACUAAAUGAAGGACACGCCCAUGGACACGGAAAUAUGGCACAUCCCUCUCAGCCUGCCGUUGCCACGCACAGUGUGGAUUUGGAAAAGUCAAAAUUAUCUGAAACGUUUUCGCUACAAUAGGUAAGCGCCCGGAUUACCAGCCAGCCAGAAGCUCGCAUUCAGUCCUACAACUUCCAGUACGGCUCGAUCAAGCAGACUCCACGGCGGCUCGAGAAAUUGCAGCCCUUGCAGACCGUCCACAGGGCGACGAUCAGACACUGCAAGACCAAUCUUCACAUGAGCCCCCAGCAUCGGGGCGCCUUGAAGAUCGCCAGGUGAUAUCGGGCCCCGAGAGCUCGGAGCAGGUUCCAGUGCAGUCUACUCCUGAAACCUUAAGGCGUCGUACACGAACACGCAAGGAACCAGAUAGAUGGGGAUACAAUUAAAAAGAUAAUUAAAGCUGGCAGAAGUGUUGUGACCGAAUGACGUCAACGAAACACCCCCUGUUCGUACC